rnacentral:rRNA from 1 species
CGGACGGAUGAGUAACACGUGGAUAACCUACCUAUAAGACUGGGAUAACUUCGGGAAACCGGAGCUAAUACCGGAUAAUAUAUUGAACCGCAUGGUUCAAUAGUGAAAGACGGUUUUGCUGUCACUUAUAGAUGGAUCCGCGCCGCAUUAGCUAGUUGGUAAGGUAACGGCUUACCAAGGCAACGAUGCGUAGCCGACCUGAGAGGGUGAUCGGCCACACUGGAACUGAGACACGGUCCAG